ACACCGUGGAAACUGCAUGCUGAAGGUGGCGGCCACAAGAGAGGGGAAGCCUGGGUCCCUGGCAACAUGGGGUCCUGUUUUAGACCUGCACCACCUAACACCGGAUAUCAUUUAUAGCAUCCAGCAGAGAAAUUAUGCUGAGCUUCCAGGAGUUUUGGACUGUGGAGUUCUUCCUUCUCAAAACACCCUACCCGAGAGCAUGGAAGGCUGGGCAAGCCUGGGAUCCCCUUCUCAGGAGACAGUGAUAUCAUGCAAUUAUUGUUAUAGGAAGAGACAAUCAGAUAUGCAGCCCAAAGAAUGUAAGAAAAUCUUUUAAAGAAAGAAAAAUAGUCAUUUUUUUAUUUGUUGUUAUUUCUUUUAUCAUUCUACAUAAAUAUUCAAGUUUAUACCUAACUUUGUCUUUACAGUUUUGAAUUUUGAUGUGAGAGUCAUUGGCCACUGGUCCUCAGCCUUCCUAGGAGCCUCGGCUUG